rnacentral:lncRNA from 1 species
CGGAGGAGCAAGCGCGGUCAAUUUUGUUGUUUAAGCUGCGAAAACAAAGUUACAGACUAACUGCUUUGAUUUGGUUUUCAGCGAAAUGACAGAUAGCCAGAAAGAAAGCGGCGGGUCCAAGGCGAGGAGCUGGGGACUUUUAUCCAUUCUUCUUUAACGUUACUGUUACUGAGCCUUAGCUCCAGCUCCCGGAGGCUGGGCUCGAUCUUUGAGGAGCUCGUGAGCUGCUGCAACUUAGUGGAGAAUUUCCAUGCCACGUCAAUUUACAGCCAGCCAGCCCCCGACCAGAGUUCUGCGGCUCAGGGCACCGACGGGCUUUGUCUCACCCAGUUGGCUGAAUGGAAAAGAGGUGUCCAGAAACGGAAUUAAAGACAAAAGUGCAACUCUGGUGUGAUUAUCUACGGAUAGAAGAUAAAGUCAGUCAAAGUGAUGCGGUUCUUUCUGUUUCUUCUGAAUGGACUGUUGUGCUGUUAUACAGUAGCAAUGGAAUCUUUGCUGGUCACUGGCACCAAUUACGGUAUUGGAGAGUUGUUUAUUAAGUAUCCACUACCUUUAUCAAGUGCCUGCCACUUCCAGGUACUUAAAAAGCACUGGAUACAAAAGAUGACUCAACAGGAACAUAUGGGACGAUAUCCUGGAUGGUUUCGAGGAUCAACUAGAACACACAGACUGACUACGCCGUGGACGUUUGUUUCACCUUCUGUAGUUCCUGUAGAGAACGCCAUCAGUCUAUCUUCUAAAUCAUCCCAAA